UUGGCAGCAAAAUACUGGGCAAAUGGAGACUGUAUGAUGGACUAUGUCAAUUAGUGGAUUCUUCAAAGACCUCAUGGUGCUUGGAGUAGCAAGACUGGAAGCGAUUUAUAACUGGUGAACUAUCAAAACCACUUGAGCAAGAACCUCGGAACAUGCCCUACAUCUGGGACCUGAGCAGGCUGCUGGCCACAGCCACAGCAGUAGCGCUGGCCCUGGGAGCAGGGGACACAGGACAACCCACAAGAGGCAGGAAAACACAUGCACGCACCCCAGAGGACUGAAAGCAGGCACUCAGCCAGUCUGGUAGAGUAGCAUCGUCCACCACAGCCAAGAGCUGCAGCAUUCCUCAGCUGAUCAGCACAGGAGCGUGAGGAACAGGUACUAGCUACUCCAAUCAUCCAGGAUGGUUUCCAAGUAUCAAAAGGAAGCAAUUCCUGAUGAAGGCUGCAGCCUGGAUGACCCCCACAAAACACGCAGGGAACAGUAAGCCACUCCCAGAAAGAUGCACAUUGUGUAAUUCCAUUUCUGUGAAAAAUCUACAAGAGGUGAACUUACAGAGACAGCGGAUUGGCAGUUCUCAUGGGCCAGGGGAGGAAGAAGGUGCGAUACUGCCCAAUGGAAGGAGUAUAGGGGAGGAGUCAUUGAAAGGUUUCAGACAUGGUGACGAUGAUUGAAUAGA